CAAAGUGGGACGGGUGAGGACAUUUACAGAAGUGUGGGGGUCACUGGAUUCCCUAAGCAUGAGAGAAACGUUCUUCCGGUUCGAUUGUUCCCCAAGAUGGAUCAAGCGAUUGAACAACGGUGGAGCCUAGACAAACUCAAACUCACACCCAUUCAUACUUCGUCCACCACCAAACAUCCCUCCCCAUUUACACCCAUCCAUACUCCAUCCACUCUCCCUCUCAGUCCAUAACAUCCGUCACUCAAAACCAGGACUACCAACAUUUAACAAGAAAGAAUAAAGGAUUUUUGUAGGCCUUUUGAUGCAUGCAAACCAUUUCACAAAACAAACCAUACCAAAAUCUAACCAUACCAAAAUCUAAAGAUACAGAUUCUAGUGAA